UGCAAGCCCUGCCACGGCAGCGGACAAGCCUAGCUUCUUAAACUAGUAGUAGUUGUUGGAGCAGUACCCAGAGGAGCAGAUUGCCAUGGUAGUGGUGUAGUAAGCUAGAUAUUGCCAGGAGGUAGCCAUGGUUUCCACUACUUCCUCAGCCCUAGAUGCCAUGGGAUGGAGGAGAGUUCACCGUGGCGCAGCCAUGGCAGUGGCGGCCUUCUUCUAGGCCUCCAUGCUCUAGCCUCCUCACUGGUAGACCUGUAGCGAGAAUGUCAAUCCGAUUAGUGCAGCAGGCGGUCCGGAGCAAGGAUGACGAGGAGGACUAGAUGGCACAUGGCAACAAGGGUAGCAGCUGUGGUCUGUAGCUGAUGCAGGUUGGUGCAUCUUACUUGGAUGGACGUCGAAGACUCUGGGAACAAUGGACGUCUUCAUAUAUACGGCUUGGUCGUUGAACAAUCUCAAGCAGCUGCAGCUUUGUUUCUAGCUCCUUAAUCAUCUCUACGAUAUAUAUGGUUGCAGC